CUGAACAAGUCCAGAUCGAACUUCCCGACCUCAAACGUUGUGGGCAGGGCUAAAGUUCGGCUGGCAUCCAGGCUAGAAGAUCAGCCUACCAAAGUCCUUUUAGGCAAGUCCCUCCACUCAGCGGCCAUAUAGCAGCGCUUUUUGGGUACUCGUCGGGCAUCCUCUUCGGCAGAAAUGCGCGUGCGCAAGGCUUCACGAC